rnacentral:ncRNA from 1 species
UUGAGCCGUACGAGAUGAAAUUCUCAUAUACGGUUCUCAGGGGGAUCCUUUGGUUUACCUAUCUCAAU